rnacentral:rRNA from 1 species
AGUGAACGCUGGCGGUAGGCCUAACACAUGCAAGUCGAACGGCAGCACAGUAAAAGCUUGCUCUUACGGGUGGCGAGUGGCGGACGGGUGAGGAAUACAGCGGAAUCUACUUUUUCGUGGGGGAUAACGUAGGGAAACUUACGCUAAUACCGCAUACGACCUACGGGUUAAAGCAGGGGAUCUUCGGACCUUGCGCGAUUGAAUGAGCCGAUGUCGGAUUAGCUAGUUGGCGGGGUAAAGGCCCACCAAGGCGACGAUCCGUAGCUGGUCUGAGAGGGUGAUCAGCCACAUGGGAACUGAGACACGGUCCAGACUCCUACGGGAGGAAGCAGUGGGGAAUAUUGGACAAUGGGGGAAAGCCGGAUCCAGCCAUACCGCGUGGGUGAAGAAGGCCUUCGGGUUGUAAAGUCCUGUUGUUGGGAAAGAAAAGCAGCAGGUUAAUACCCCGCUGUUCUGACGGUACCCAAAGAAUAAGCACCGGCUAACUUCGUG